GCCAACAUGGUGAAGUGGUCUGAAUGUUAGACUAAAACUCUGGAGACCAGAGUUCAAAUCUCUGCUCAGCCA